UUGCACGCUGGCGGAAUGCUUUACCCAUGCAAGUCGAACGGCAGCACGGGGGCAGCCCUGGUGGCGAGUGGCGAACGGGUGAGUAAUACAUCGGAACGUGCCCGGUCGUGGGGGAUAACGUAGCGAAAGUUACGCUAAUACCGCAUACGAUCUGAGGAUGAAAGCGGGGGACCUUCGGGCCUCGCGCGAUCGGAGCGGCCGAUGUCAGAUUAGGUAGUUGGUGGGGUAAAGGCCUACCAAGCCGACGAUCUGUAGCUGGUCUGAGAGGACGACCAGCCACACUGGGACUGAGACACGGCCCAGACUCCUACGGGAGGCAGCAGUGGGGAAUUUUGGACAAUGGGCGCAAGCCUGAUCCAGCCAUUCCGCGUGCAGGACGAAGGCCUUCGGGUUGUAAACUGCUUUUGUACGGAACGAAAAGGCUCCGGCUAAUACCUGGGGCUCAUGACGGUACCGUAAGAAUAAGCACCGGCUAACUACGUG
rnacentral:rRNA from 1 species